GAACGCGAAGAACCUUACCAGGGUUUGACAUGCAAGUGGUAGGAAACUGAAAAGGGACCGACCCUUCGGGGAGCUUGCACAGGUGCUGCAUGGCUGUCGUCAGCUCGUGUCGUGAGAUGUUCGGUUAAGUCCGCUAACGAGCGCAACCCUCACUGUGUGUUACAUGUGUCACACGGGACUGCCGGUUUUAAGCCGGAGGAAGGUGGGGAUGACGUCAAGUCAGCAUGGCCUUUAUAUCCUGGGCUACACACACGCUACAAUGGUCGGUACAAUAGGUUGCCAAGCCGCGAGGCGGAGCCAAUCCAUAAAGCCGACCUCAGUUCAGAUUGUAGGCUGCAACUCGCCUGCAUGAAGAUGGAGUUGCUAGUAACCGCAGGUCAGCGAUACUGCGGUGAAUACGUUCCCGGGUCUUGUACACACCG
rnacentral:rRNA from 1 species